GCCAAGACGUAAAUCUACUCACAUACUAAACGCCAGGGUAUUACGAGCUUUAGCUUAAAACCCAAAGGACUUGACGGUACCCCGCCUAACUAGAGGAGCCUGUUCUAUAAUCGACAACCCACGAUAUACCUAACCAUCUCUUGCCCCAGCCUGUAUACCUCCGUCGUAAGCUUACCUUGUGAACGCAUUAGUGGGCUCAAAGGUUUAACACCCAAACGUCAGGUCAAGGUGCAGCCCAUGAAAUGGGAGCAAUGGGCUACAAUUUCUAAUCUAGAACUAACAGAAUACUACAUGAAACAUAGUUAUAAAGAAGGAUUUAGCAGUAAAUAGGGAAUAGAGAGCCCUAUUAAACCCAAUCCCGGAGUAUGU
rnacentral:rRNA from 1 species